AUAAUUUACGGAAUGCUGUAUGUGAAAUAACUAAAGCAUGGUAUGCACGGUCAAUCGAUCAACCGCUUAAUUUUCUGAGAUCUUGUUUGGUUGUUUGAUCACUAUCGAGUAAACUUGUAUAUCGUUUAGUCCCCAGAAAUGAGAUGCAAGUUUAACUCGCAUAUAUCUAUUUUUAACAUAACCAGUGUGUUAAUGACGUCAGUAAGGUUUUGUUUAAUUACAGGACUGUAGUUGAUUCACAGAUAAUUGUUGAAUAUUUUGUAUAUCAAUUGGCAUAAGAAAUAAGCUUUAAUUAAUUUUUUUUAUUUCUUUAAUAAUUAUAUUAAUUAAAUAUUCUCUUAAUUUGCAUUUCGUCCACUGGAGAUCAAACAAAUUCUAGUUUACAAAAUUCAUUCGGGGAAAAAGGGAACCUUUAAUAAAAUACACUUCAUAUUAAAAAUCAAAAUGAAAUAACUCUUCCUUCUAGAAAAAAAUAAUGUAUCUGAAUGCUAGGACAUCUUUGAAAUCUCUAUUGAAACCGUAUUGGUUUUCAUAGUAAUGGUUGUGAUCUCCAGUAGCGCCUACGUCAUCAAUGUAUUGUAAGCUCAAAUCUAUGAAUGUGCAUUACUUGUCAAUAAACAAGUCUAUGUCAGUAU
rnacentral:sRNA from 1 species